rnacentral:rRNA from 1 species
UACAGAGGGGGCAAGCGUUGUUCGGAAUUACUGGGCGUAAAGGGCGCGUAGGCGGCCUUCUAAGUCAUGCGUGAAAUCCCCGGGCUCAACCCGGGAACUGCGUCCGAGACUGGAAGGCUUGAAUUCGGGAGAGGGAUGCAGAAUUCCAGGUGUAGCGGUGAAAUGCGUAGAUAUCUGGAGGAAUACCGGUGGCGAAGGCGGCAUCCUGGACCGACAUUGACGCUGAACGGCGAAAGCUAGGGGAGCAAACGGG